rnacentral:rRNA from 1 species
AGAGUUUGAUCAUGGCUCAGGAUGAAUGCUGGCGGCGUGCCUAAUACAUGCAAGUCGAGCGGUAAGGCCCUUCGGGGUACACGAGCGGCGGACGGCUGAGUAACGCGUGGGAACAUGCCCCAAAGUGAGGGAUAACGCACCGAAAGGUGUGCUAAUACCGCAUAUGGUCUUCGGAUUAAAGGAUUUAUCCGCUUUGGGAGUGGCCCGCGUACGAUUAGAUUGUUGGUGAGGUAACGGCUCACCAAGUCGACGAUUGUUAACUGGUCUGAGAGGAUGAUCAGUCAGACUGGAACUGAGACACGGUCCAGACUCCUACGGGAGGCAGCAGUAAGGAAUCUUCCACAAUGGGCGAAAGCCUGAUGGAGCAACGCCGCGUGCAGGAUGAAGGCCCUCGGGUCGUAAACUGCUUUUAUGAGUGAAGAAUAUGACGGUAACUCAUGAAUAAGCACCGGCUAACUACGUG